GGGGGAAGAAGCGGAGCAGGCGGAGCGGAGCAGCCUUGAAAAAAUCCUCUCACCAAGGGAAAAUCAUCUUAGAAAAACACCCAGCACUGCUAGAAGAUGGAACAGGAACAAAAUCACUGACCUGACUUCUUGACUGGAGCGACCUACUAGGAGCCAGUCAUCGAAAGACAGGGAAACGGUAGAACCCUGACAUCUCAUUUAGGCUGCCACAACACAGGAAACGUUUGUGAAUACUUUGAGAGCUGCUGCUACUCCACAGGAAAGGACUGUGAACUGGAAGUGUUCUUGAUCCACUAGAAACAGAAGGAACUUUCUGUGGAAAAGAGAUUCUGAGCAUCCUUCGUGUCAUGA